rnacentral:tRNA from 1 species
UGCGGUGUGGCCAAGCGGUAAGGCAGUGGACUUUGACUCCAUGAUCGUCGGUUCAAAUCCGGCCACCGCAA